rnacentral:tRNA from 1 species
UCUCCUGAUCGGCAAGCCGGGAGGGCUCACCGCCUCGGAAGCCAUGGCCAGAGGCCUCCCGAUGGUAGUCGUGGCUCCGAUUCCGGGUCAGGAGGA